CCUAGGCAUGGUGGCAAAUGCCUGUAAUCCCUGCUACUGGGAAGGUUGAGACUAAUGGAUUUCUUGAGCUCAGGAGUUCUGAGCUACAGUAGGGCUCGAGUAGCCCACUAAGUUUGGCAACAAUAUGGCGAAUUUUGGGGAGUGAAGGGCCACCAGGCUGCCUAAGAAGCCCAGUUUGGAAACAGAGCAGGUCAAAGCUUCCAUGACAAUUACUAGUGGUGUUAAGCCUGUGCAUGGGCACUGUACCUCUAGCCUGGGCAAGCUAGAGAGACCUAAUCUUAA
rnacentral:SRP_RNA from 1 species